rnacentral:rRNA from 1 species
GAAAUUUAUUUAUUAUAUAGAUUUAGUGGCGUAAGGGUGAGAACACGCCAAGUAUCGGUUUUGUAGUUGGGCACAGUAGUUGAGCGUUAGUUUUUGAUAACUUGCUUACUUUAAUUCCUAAUAAUUUUAAUUGACGAGAAAUUGUAACUAAACAAUUAUGUUGGUAAAAAAGAUUUUUUAUUGCUACAAAGAGAGCUUGGCAAGGAUUAGGUCAAUAGGUUUUUUUAACAGAAACUUAGCCAUCGAUCCUUAGCUGGACUGAGAGGUCGGUCAGCCACACUGGGACUGAGAAACGGCCCAGCCUUUAUUAGGCAGCAGUGUGGAAUCUUGGACAAUGAACGAAAGUUCGAUCUAGUAAUACCGCGUGAGUGAAGAAGGUCCUAACCGUAAAACUCUUUCGUUAGGGUAAGAAAAUGACAGAAAUCUAAAGAAGAAGUCCCGACCAACUUCGUGCCAGCAGUCGCGGUAAUACGGGGGGGACUAACGUUAUUCAUCAUAACUGGGCGUAAAGGGUACGUAGGCUGCUUUUUAAGUCUUAAUCAAAGAAGCUAAGCUUAACUUAGAAAUUGAUUUUGAUACUGUUAAGCUUGAGGUCAAUAUAGGUUAGUUAUAUUCUUGAAGUAAAAGUAAAAUCUUUAGAUAUCGAGAGGAUAACCGAGUGGUUAAUGCGACUUUCUGGAUUGAUGCUGACGCUGAGGUACGAAGGCAUGGGCAUCAAACGGGAUUAGAGACCCCGGUAGUCCAUGCAGUAAAUCAAGAAUGCUAUGAGAUUGUCCCUGCUUUAUAUAUAGGGUUCAGGUCUAUGAGCUAACGCGAAAGCAUUCCGCCUGGGUACUACAGUCGCAAGGUUGAAACUCAAAGGAAUUGACGGAAGUUUGAACAAGCGGUGGAGCAUCUGGUUCAAUGCGAUAUUACGCGCAAAACCUUACCAGUCUUUGAAUAUUUUUUGUAUCUUUUAUAGAGAAAGGUGUAUAAAAUUUUUUGAUUUUCAAAUUUUAUGUGAAAAUACAGGUGCUGCAUGGCUGUCGCAAGCUCGUGUAGUGAUAUGUUUGGUUAACUCCGUUAACGAGCGCAACCCUCGCUUUUAGUUGUUUUUUAAAAGGACUGCCUGUGCGAUGCAGGAGGAAGGUGAGGAUGAUGUCAAGUCAGUAUGGCCUUGAUAGACUGGGCUACACAGGUGCUACAAUGGUGAAAACAAAGGGUAGCAAUAACGCAAGUUGGUGCAAAUCUCAAAAAAAUCAUCUAAGUUCAGAUUGUCCUCUGCAACUCGAGGGCAUGAAGGCGGAAUCGCUAGUAAUCGUGGAACAGCAUGCUACGGUGAAUCUGUGACCAAACUUAGUACAUACCGCCCGUCAGACCAUGGAAAUUGGUUUGUCGAAAAGGGGCUGACUUGAUAUUUUAAAAUUGUAU